CUUGCCCCGGGGUCUAUGGAAGUAAUGGAAGGACCUCUCAACCUGGCUCAUCAACAGAGCAGAUGAGCAGACCGUUUUUUAGCUGCAGGCAAAUACGAAGAGGCUAUUUCUUGUCACAAAAAGGCUGCCGCGUAUCUUUCUGAAGCCAUGAAGCUGACACAAUCUGAGCAGGCACAUCUUUCACUGGAAUUGCAAAGGGAUAGCCACAUGAAACAGCUCCUCCUCAUCCAAGAGAGAUGGAAAAGUGCCCAGUGUGAAGAAAGAUUGAAAGCCCAGCAGAACACCGACAAGGAUGUAGCUGCCCAUCUUCAGGCAUCUCACAAACCCUCUGCAGAGGAUGCAGAGGGCCAGAGCCCCCUUUCUCAGAAGUACAACCCUUCCACAGAGAAACGCCUGCCUGAGAUUCAGGGGAUCCGUGACAGGGAUCCAGACACACUGCUGUACUUACUUCAGCAAAAGAGUGAGCCAGUGGAGCCAUGUAUUGGAAGCAAAGCCCCAAAAGAUGAUAAAACAAUUAUAGAGGAUCAGACAACCAAAACUGCAGAUUUGAAGAGGCAUGUGGAAUUCCUUGUGGCCGAGAAUGAAAGAUUAAGGAAAGAAAAUAAACAACUAAAGGCUGAAAUGGCCAGACUUCUAAAAGGUCUAAUAGAAAAGGAACUGGAUGUAGAUGCUGGUUUUGUAGAAACGUCAGAGAUACGGAGCUUGCCACCACAUUCAGAAACUGCUACAGCCUCCUCAACCUGGCAGACGUUUGCAGCAAAUGCCGGGAAAGCCAAGGACAUUCCAAUCCCCAGACUUCCUCCCUUGGAUUUUUCUUCUCCAGAACUUCCCCUUAUGGAGCUCUCUGAGGAUAUUCUGAAAGGAUUUAUGAAUAAUUGAAAUGGAAGGCCACAGAAGAGGAGGGGAGAAGAGGAAAUAAUACAGUAAUAGUUAAUCCAGCAAAAAAAAUGAAAAGGGAAAAACCACAUAGAAGGGUCAUCCCGGAAAUGCUUCAUCAUCUGGCAGAAUGUGAGAGAAGAGGCAUUGCCAGGACUUGGGAAACAGUCACUGUGAAAUGUGUCUUGUAUCUGAUUCACUGACUCGUGCUAAUGAUUCCGACUUGGCAGACACUAAACUCAUGGAGGGUUCACUUUCUCCUGAUACAAACCAAAUGGCUACCUGGAAUAAUUUUUUUCAAGCAACAAUUAUUUUUCUUAUCUUCAGGGUUAAAAUGUUUAAAAGUAUGUUAUGCGUAAUUAAUCUCUAAUGCCAUAAAUGAUAAUGCAAAACCUAAAUAAUAUGGUGGCCUGAGGGGCUGCCUUCUAUUUGAAACAAGCUUUCUAUCAUGCAUUGACUGUGUGCGUUUUGUUAAUGCACAUUUUGUUUGUUUAAAUAAGGUGUGUAAGAUACACACCCUUCUAGAGGAAACUAUAUGUGCCACACUUUGCACUACUCAUAAUGAUAAUCUCAAGACUACCAGGAGAAAUAUUUGAAUUUCCAUUUUAUGAAGAAAGGAAGCAAAUUAUUAUGCUUUUUUAAACAAAUUACCAGUUUACAUAAUUAAUCAGAGUGCAUUUUAAGUUCUAACUUUGUUUAUUGUAUAGUGCAUCAUUUGAAAAUACCAAGGAGGAAAUACCCUUUGUUUUUAAUGAUGCAAGAGUGGGGGUAAUGCUAGUUGGCAGUAUUUGAUUGUAAGAAAUCAAUAAAGUAAUUACAUUUU